GCGAGAGUGGCGGAAUGGCAGACGCGCAAGGCUCAGGACCUUGUGGGGGCAACCUCGUGGGGGUUCAAGUCCCCCCUCUCGCACCA
rnacentral:tRNA from 1 species